rnacentral:rRNA from 1 species
AGUGAACGCUGGCGGUAGGCCUAACACAUGCAAGUCGAACGGCAGCACAGUAAGAGCUUGCUCUUACGGGUGGCGAGUGGCGGACGGGUGAGGAAUACAUCGGAAUCUACUUUUUCGUGGGGGAUAACGUAGGGAAACUUACGCUAAUACCGCAUACGACCUACGGGUGAAAGCAGGGGAUCUUCGGACCUUGCGCGAUUGAAUGAGCCGAUGUCGGAUUAGCUAGUUGGCGGGGUAAAGGCCCACCAAGGCGACGAUCCGUAGCUGGUCUGAGAGGAUGAUCGGCCACACUGGAACUGAGACACGGUCCAGACUCCUACGGGAGGCAGCAGUGGGGAAUAUUGGACAAUGGGCGCAAGCCUGAUCCAGCCAUACCGCGUGGGUGAAGAAGGCCUUCGGGUUGUAAAGCCCUUUUGUUGGGAAAGAAAAGCGGCAGGUUAAUACCCCGCUGUUCUGACGGUACCCAAAGAAUAAGCACCGGCUAACUUCGU